GGGAACUCAGCCAAAGUUUCCAUUAACCUCCUCUCAGUCCUGACGUCACAGCAUGGAGGUAAAGGUAGAAACUCCUCCAUCAGACAGACUGAGCAGAGAGGUGGCUCCACCGUGUGGCGCUGCGUGGUACUGCAGUUAUAUCCUCCUGACUUUGAGCCUUCACACUGAGAGAAUGCUGGAAGCCAAUUUUUGUAUAUUUGUUCUUGUUUUUGAAGGCUGGCUUUUUGCAGUGCAGGAGGAAGAACCGGAGCUGAAGCCCUCCAUCACUCCCAAACAUCACUGAAGCUCUCAGGUACAACAGGACAGCUCAGGAAUGGACUCAGAAAUACGCCAUGUGAUCCUCCUCCUCACUGCUGGAACAAACUCUUUGAUUUCCUCCUCCUCUUCAUCAGCCAAUAACAGCAAUUUGUUCAUGUUUUUCUGUUGGUCCUCUUCCUCCUCACCUUUAAAUGCUUUUAAAGUCUUUAUUUGCCCUUUUUCUCUGCUUUCUAAACAAUAAAUAAAUAAACAAAGUGAGGGGCCGAGGACUCUGAGCUGUGAAUGUGCCAACUGCAAAACAAAAAGCCCCCAAAAAACCCCGGAGCGGACUCAGUCAGACCGGACUGGACGGAGAACUGUUACAGUAAUUAAACAGAGUAAUGGAAUGCAUGUCAGUGAUUGGUUCAUGUGCUGCUGCUGAGUCCACUUUCAAAAGAAACGACGACAGCUUUUUGGUUUUAUUCAGUUUUCUUGUUGUUUUGUUGUUUUUAGACGAGAGAGCCGUUAGUUCAUCCAUCAUCCACACACUGUUCUCCUCUUUUUGCACUGAAGAUGAAACUCAAAGCUCUCAAUGGCUGAUUGAUCAACUAAUAGCUCUGUGAUGUUUUCUUUCUCAAUAAAGUUGAACAAAUUGCA